CCUACGGGUGGCUGCAGUGGGGAAUAUUGGACAAUGGGCGAAAGCCUGAUCCAGCCAUGCCGCGUGUGUGAAGAAGGCCUUCGGGUUGUAAAGCACUUUCAGUGGGGAAGAAAGCCUUGGGGCUAAUACCCUCGAGGAAGGACAUCACCCACAGAAGAAGCACCGGCUAACUCCGUGCCAGCAGCCGCGGUGAAUACGGAGGGUGCGAGCGUUAAUCGGAAUUACUGGGCGUAAAGCGCGCGUAGGCGGUCUGAUAAGCCGGUUGUGAAAGCCCCGGGCUCAACCUGGGAACGGCAUCCGGAACUGUCAGGCUAGAGUGCAGGAGAGGAAGGUAGAAUUCCCGGUGUAGCGGUGAAAUGCGUAGAGAUCGGGAGGAAUACCAGUGGCGAAGGCGGCCUUCUGGACUGACACUGACGCUGAGGUGCGAAAGCGUGGGUAGCAAACAGGAUUAGAUACCCCAGUAGUC
rnacentral:rRNA from 1 species